rnacentral:lncRNA from 1 species
UUGCAAUAAAAACCCAGAAACCAUAAAAGAAAGGAAUGAUGAACUUGACUAAGAAAAAAGUCAGGGGGAGGAGCCAAGAUGGCCGAAUAGGAACAGCUCCGGUCUACAGCUCCCAGCGUGAGCGACGCAGAAGACGGGUGAUUUCUGCAUUUCCAUCUGAGGUACCAGGUUCAUCUUACUAGGGAGUGCCAGACAGUGGGCGCAGGUCAGUGGGUGUGCGCACCGUGCACGAGCCGAAGCAGGGUGAGGCAUUGCCUCAUUUGGUCUUCAAGGAGAACUACAAACCGCUGCUCCAGGAAAUAAAAGAGGAUACAAGCAAAUGGAAGAACGUUCCAUGCUC